UAGCCCGUGCGGACCUUGCGACGGCGACAGUGGGAGCCCAUGGAGCUUUCAAGAAACCCCGUGGCAUUUUAGAUAUGCUUGCAUGAAAGAAUGAUAUCUUCAGUUCUCCCCCAAGAAAAACUAGUUCGAUGGAACUGUGGCAGAAGUCUUGCUGAAGUACAAAAAGGGAGAAACAAAUGAUUUUGAGUUGUUGAAGAACCAGCUGUCAGAUCGAGACCUAGGCUAACAUGCCAGCAAUGGAGUCCUUUUGAGUUCCUGACACAGAAUAAAGGUUCCCGUCUGGUUAAGUGGGCUCCACUCCAUCCCUAAGCCACUGGAAUAGAAUAAAGAACCUUGAAAGAAA